GACGAACGCUGGCGGCGUGCUUAACACAUGCAAGUCGAACGGAAAGGCCCUGCUUUUGUGGGGUGCUCGAGUGGCGAACGGGUGAGUAACACGUGAGUAACCUGCCCUUGACUUUGGGAUAACUUCAGGAAACUGGGGCUAAUACCGGAUAGGAGCUCCUGCUGCACGGUGGGGGUUGGAAAGUUUCGGCGGUUGGGGAUGGACUCGCGGCUUAUCAGCUUGUUGGUGGGGUAGUGGCUUACCACGGCUUUGACGGGUAGCCGGCCUGAGAGGGUGACCGGCCACAUUGGGACUGCGAUACGGCCCAGACUCCUACGGGAGGCAGCAGUGGGGAAUAUUGCACAAUGGGCGGACGCCUGAGGCAGCAACGCCGCGUGCGUGAUGACGGCCUUCGGGUUAUAAACCGCUUUCGCCUGUGACGAAGCGUGAGUGACGGUAAUGGGUAAAGAAGCACCGGCUAACUACGUG
rnacentral:rRNA from 1 species